UACAGAGGGUGCAAGCGUUGUUCGGAAUUAUUGGGCGUAAAGGGUGCGUAGGCGGUGCGGUAAGUCUGAUGUGAAAUCUCACAGCUUAACUGUGAAACUGCAUUGGAUACUAUCCGGCUCGAGGAAUGGAGGGGAGACUGGAAUACUUGGUGUAGCAGUGAAAUGCGUAGAUAUCAAGUGGAACACCAGUGGCGAAGGCGAGUCUCUGGACAUUUCCUGACGCUGAGGCACGAAAGCCAGGGGAGCAAACGGG
rnacentral:rRNA from 1 species